rnacentral:lncRNA from 1 species
AUUGUUGCCAUACAAGUUUAAUGAUGAUUGGUAUGCGCGGUGCUUCUCAAGUGUUCAGUUCAAAUUUUGUACUAUUACGUAAUUUGAGUUAAGAAGAUAGUCCUUUAUGCUUGAGUUUUAUGGGAUUUGUGGCUGAAAUCUUCCAGAAACUGCUAUUGUAUGUCACUGUGGUAUAAUUUUUAGUAUAGGUUUUGUUAGAUUUGCUUUAUUAGCUGCAGUUUAUAAUAGUACGAGAAAUCCAAUCGCUCACAAUUAUCUUGCCACCAUAUGAAGCAGGGAUCUGGACAUUUGUAGUUAACUUUUUAAUAAUUUGAUAUGUGAAGUGUUUAUCCUAUCUGCACUAUAAUAGCUUUUCCUAGACUAAGAUGAUUGGUCUUCCUUAAUUCCUUAAUUUACUAUCUGCACUAUAAUAGCUUUGUCUAUGUGGAAAGCCUACACUUUUUAGAAUUGAGGUUUCUGAUGCUUCAUAGUAUACUUACUAAACUGCUCGUGCAUGAGUUUUUUGAGGAACAUGCUUUCUUUUUCUUUCUUUCUUUUUUACUCGAUUUCUUUGUAUAAUAAUGAAAUACUUGUUUACUUUUUCUUUCUUUUUUACUCGAUUUCGGUCAAGCUUUAUUAGUUGAAAUGCAUCUCAAUGCAGGAAACAUGGAUAAAGAGGAACAGGGUGUUUACUGUUUUAUUAGCUUCAUUUUUGAUGAAAUAGACAAUAUAUAGCUGUAACUUGUAAACCCUCUCUUUCAGAAUUAGAAUUAUAGUAGGCUCUUACAGUUCUAUGACCCGAAAGAUGUAUAUUUACUCUUCUUUAUGUCCUGUAAUGCAAGAUACUGGUUUCAGUGUUGCUGCAAGUUACUUAAACGAUACUCCUGCUCUGAAGAAGGCUGAUAUUGGAAGUGCCGUUCCUUUUCAGAUCGUCGUUCGUCUGUCCGUCGGCAACUCACGCACACCGCACACG